rnacentral:rRNA from 1 species
UACGUAGGGGGCGAGCGUUAUCCGGAAUUACUGGGUGUAAAGGGAGCGUAGACGGCGAAGUAAGCCUGAAGUGGAAGCCCGCGGCCCAACCGCGGAACUGCUUUGGGAACUGCUUAGCUGGAGUAUGGGAGGGGUAAGCGGAAUUCCUGGUGUAGCGGUGAAAUGCGUAGAUAUAUGGAGGAACACCGGUGGCGAAAGCGGCUCUCUGGCCUGUGACUGACACUGAGGCUCGAAAGCGUGGGGAGCAAACAGG